UUCGGGAAACCGGAGCUAAUACCGGAUAAUAUUUUGAACCGCAUGGUUCAAAAGUGAAAGACGGUCUUGCUGUCACUUAUAGAUGGAUCCGCGCUGCAUUAGCUAGUUGGUAAGGUAACGGCUUACCAAGGCAACGAUGCAUAGCCGACAUGAGAGGGUGAUCGGACACACUGGAACUGAGACACGGUCCAG
rnacentral:rRNA from 1 species